rnacentral:rRNA from 1 species
CCUACGGGAGACAGCAGUGGGGAAUAUUGCGCAAUGGGCGAAAGCCUGACGCGGCGACGCCGCGUGAGGGAUGAAGGUCUUCGGAUCGUAAACCUCUGUCAGCAGGGAAGAACGGUCACUGUGCUAAUCAGCAGUGAAUUGACGGUACCUGCAAAGGAAGCACCGGCUAACUCCGUGCCAGCAGCCGCGGUAAUACGGAGGGUGCGAGCGUUAAUCGGAAUUACUGGGCGUAAAGCGCUCGUAGGCGGUAUGUCAAGUCAAGGGUGAAAUCCCCGCGCUCAACGUGGGAACUGCCUUUGAAACUGGCAAACUGGAGUGUGUGAGAGGAUAGUGGAAUUCCAGGUGUAGGAGUGAAAGCCGUAGAUAUCUGGAGGAACAUCAGUGGCGAAGGCGACUAUCUGGCACAUAACUGACGCUGAGGAGCGAAAGCGUGGGUAGCAAACAGGAUUAGAUACCCUAGUAGUC